rnacentral:misc_RNA from 1 species
CCUCAGGUCAUGACGCUUAGAGGUCCUAGUGGCCUUACAUGGCAAGUUGUACUCACAACAAAUGAUGAUACUAUGUUCUUCAAUCAUGGUUGGGAAGAAUUUGUAAAUGAUCAUUUUCUCCAAGAGAAAGAUCUUUUGAUCUUUAAGUACAAUGGUGAUUCAUGCUUUGAUGUUCUAAUUUUUGAUGGUCAAAGCUUAUGUGAGAAGGCAGGUUCAUAUUUUGUCAGAAAAUGUGGUCACAGAGAACAUGACAGUGGUUACCAUACAAAAAGGAAAACUGGUGAAAAUUCUUUUGAAGCUCCUCUUCCCUGUCCUGAGGAUGUUGUUGGGUUCUCUCCACCUCAGAAAUCUGCAAAUAAUGACAUUGACACAACACCAUUAGGGCGACCUAACAUUUACCGCUGCACCACCAAGAAGACACGAAGGGAAAUUGAGUUUACCAACCCUAUUCAUGAAGAAUUUUCUACUUCUGAUGAGGAAAUAGAGACAAAGCCUGACAUGGAGCACGUCAGUCCAAGUGUGGUGCACAGUGUGCCAUAUCUAUCAAGUAGAAGGCUAAUAACAGAGGAAGAGAAACAGAAUGUAUGCCAGUUGGCACAAGCAGUGUUAACAAGGGAUGGCUUCAUGGUAGUUAUGAAACCUACACACGUGUACCGGAGAUUUUACAUGUCGAUACCUUCAGCAUGGACAUCUAAGAAUCUAAGAUCUCUAGAGAAACAAGAUGUGAUUCUACGCACGAAAGAGAAUACUUGGCACACCAAAUUUUAUUAUCAGAAAUCUAAAAACAGUGGAGGGCUUUCUUCUGGGUGGAAGAGUUUUGCCCUGGCAAAUGACUUGCAGGAAUUUGAUGUGUGCGUUUUUGAACCUGGUAGUCCAGUGAAUGAUGCUAUUGUCCUUGAUGUUAAUAUCUUUCGUGUCUUCCCGGAAGACUAGUGACCUUGGCAUCUCAGGAUUGUUGUAGAUCAUCAGAAGAAAACUGCAUGAAGGUAUUUGGUAAUAAGUACAAAUUAUGGAACGUAUUUAGUUUUGGCUGCGAUUUGGAAUUUUUCCACACUAUUAGUUGUAACAAUCCUUGUGUAUAGAGAAGGGUGGUUUAUGUCCUGUUUAAUGUAUGAGACCUUUGAUGACUGUACUAGCUUUUAUAACAUAACAAUUUGAUUCCUGGGCAAGGAAAUAAAGAAGAAUUGCUUUGGGAUUCCACUGUAGCCCAGGUUUUAAUUAGCG